rnacentral:rRNA from 1 species
AAACUUUCAACAACGGAUCUCUUGGUUCUGGCAUCGAUGAAGAACGCAGCGAAAUGCGAUAAGUAGUGUGAAUUGCAGAAUUCAGUGAAUCAUCGAAUCUUUGAACGCACAUUGCGCCCCUCGGUAUUCCGGGGGGCAUGCCUGUUCGAGCGUCAUUU